UACGUAGGGAGCGAGCGUUGUCCGGAAUUACUGGGUGUAAAGGGAGCGCAGACGGCAGUGCAAGUCUGGAGUGAAAGCCCGGGGCCCAACCCCGGGACUGCUCUGGAAACUGUACGGCUAGAGUACGGGAGGGGCAGGCGGAAUUCCUAGUGUAGCGGUGAAAUGCGUAGAUAUUAGGAGGAACACCGGCGGCGAAGGCGGCCUGCUGGACCGAAACUGACGUUGAGGCUCGAAAGCGUGGGGAGCAAACAGG
rnacentral:rRNA from 1 species